rnacentral:rRNA from 1 species
AUUGAACGCUGGCGACAUGCCUUACACAUGCAAGUCGAACGGCAGCACGGGUGCUUGCACCUGGUGGCGAGUGGCGAACGGGUGAGUAAUACAUCGGAACAUGUCCUGUAGUGGGGGAUAGCCCGGCGAAAGCCGGAUUAAUACCGCAUACGAUCUACGGAUGAAAGCGGGGGACCUUCGGGCCUCGCGCUAUAGGGUUGGCCGAUGGCUGAUUAGCUAGUUGGUGGGGUAAAGGCCUACCAAGGCGACGAUCAGUAGCUGGUCUGAGAGGACGACCAGCCACACUGGGACUGAGACACGGCCCAGACUCCUACGGGAGGCAGCAGUGGGGAAUUUUGGACAAUGGGCGGAAGCCUGAUCCAGCAAUGCCGCGUGUGUGAAGAAGGCCUUCGGGUUGUAAAGCACUUUUGUCCGGAAAGAAAUCCUUGGCCCUAAUACGGUCGGGGGAUGACGGUACCGGAAGAAUAAGCACCGGCUAACUACGUG